ensembl:lncRNA
UGGUGGUAAAUUAAUUCAUAUUUAUUUAAAAAUAGAACAGAAAAUAAAACAUUUGAAAAGAUAAUAAUAAAGUUACAUUGAUGGGUGGAUAAUCAAAUAAUGUACAUUAAAGCUGCCUAAUACAUUUUUAUGUGUGUGAGUGUGUGUGUGUGUAUGUGUGUGUGUGUGUGUGUGUGCCUGCGUCUGAAUUGAUGGUAAACACACACACUCCCUGUCUAUCAAAGUUGCCUUACAGACACAAGCGCUUUCACAUUCCCAGUAAGAGCAAAGGACAGGAUGCAAAUCAGGAGCAACAGCACACACACACACACACACACACAAAAACAUCAUACAGACUUACACAUCACAGAGACACACACGGUGCACACACAUCAGACAGCUUGCUUGAACUUUACAGAUGUGUGUGUGAGAGACAGGCGUCAGAUCUGUUGGGGGACCACUGACACUCAAGUCUGCUGUGUGUGUGAUGGGUGUGUGUAUAUGUGUGUAAGAGACUCAUGGCUGCUGUGUGUGUGUGUGUAUAUAUGUGUGAGAGAAUCAAGUCUGCUGUGUGUGUGAUGGGUGUGUGUGUAUAUGUGUGUGAGAGACUCAAGUCUGCUGUGUGUGUGAUGGGUGGUAGCAGGAGUGGUGAAAGCCCUCAGACAACACACAUAUUGUGCUAAUUGACAACACACACACACACACACACACACACACUUAUUGUUACCAUAUUAAUACAAUGACUUGCAGUUGACAGGGAACCCUCCACUCUGUGUGCAGCUGAUGUGUGUUGGGGAAGGGACUGUUAUGUUUUCCACGGAGUAGGGAUGUCGACAUGUACAAUGUUAAUACACACAGCAUAACAUUUAACUGAGUCUUAUACAGGUUAAUUUCAGAACAUCUCUUUGUCUGUCUUCUAGGUAAUUAAAACACUCAAAAUGAUAUUUUUUUUUGGAUAAAAAUUAUUUAUUUUCAGUAAAACUGUAAUACCAUGGAUACUAUAAUACAUAACUGGAAGGAUGCUAGACAUGUGGCUGUAGAGGAGAAAAACACAGAUUUUCAUACAAAAUAAUCUGUUAUAAAGUGCCUUCAUAUUCCAAAGUAUAUAAAUGUGAAUAGGUAGCCAACUUUCUUAUAGACAACAGAUAAUUAAAGACCGAUGCUACUGCUAAUUCCAAUGCUAAUGCUGAUGAAUCUAGACUGGAUUAGACCCUGAUCGCCCCCAGCUCAUAUGUUAACUGGUUAGCCCUUAAUGCAUUUCUAUGGAUGUAUCUGCUAACUGGUUAGCCCUUAAUGCAUUUCUAUGGAUGUAUCUGCUAACUGGUUAGCCCUUAAGGCAUUUCUAUGGAUGUAUAUGCUAACUGGUUAGCCCUUAAUGCAUUUCUAUGGAUGUAUAUGCUAACUGGUUAGCCCUUAAUGCAUUUCUAUGAGUGUAUCUGUAGAUAUGACAAAGCUACAGAGAACAGUGUUGUGUAUGUGUGUAUGUUGAUGUAAGAGGACAGUGUUGUGUGUGUGUGUGUAUGUUCAUGUCAGUGUUGUGUGUGUGUGUGUGUGUGUGUGUGUGUGUGUACGUUGAUGUAAGAGGACAGUGUUGGGUUUGUGUGUGUGAAAGAUGUUUGUCCUUACAAUGGUUUUGUGGGAAGGAGAUGUUGAUUAUUUGGGCUAAGGCUUGGUAUGUUUGCGAGUGAGAUCUGUGUGUGUGUGUGUGUGAGAGAGAUCUGUGUGUGAGAGAGAGUGAAAGCUGUGUGUGUGUGUGUGUGUGUGUGUGUUUGUGUGUGUGUGUGUGUGUGUGUUUGUGUACAUUAGUGUGAGAGAGUGGGAGCUGUGUGUGUUUGUGUGACACCCAGUAUUUGGACUAAUGAUGCAAUUACGCCGCAUGCCACACAUACACUGACUGCUCCAUUAACAUUGUGCUCAUGUCCAGAUGUUCAGUUGUACACACACACACACACACACACAGAACACAGAGAACAACUUCCAGUAAGGCUCAUUACGUUCUCUGAAAAGUAAAAUGAAACCGGUUUGCUUGGGGGCUUGUUUACGCUGGCGAUCCAGAGAAAGAAAACAGCUUGUCAUGAGCCGAAAACAGAACGAGAGAACAGAACUUUCCCACCGUUCACAAAUCUGAUAGUGGACACUGGCCAUUAUUACCACAGCCGAGACUGGCACACAUACGGCACAGGUCUGUUACGCAUGCGGCACAGAACUGGCAUGAAUACGGCACAGGUCUGAGCUGCCAUCUGCAUGUCUCAUCUGUUCUCGUGACUGGGCUUGGUCUCUAUUACACACGCCUCUACUAACCUUUCCUCUGUGUGCUCUUUCUCUCUCUCUCGCACACUAACCCUUUCCUCUGCUGCGUGUGUGUGGAAGGCCUCCUUCUCUAUCGUAGAUGACACAGAUGCCCCCCUUGCAACCCCCCCCCCCCCCAAGAUGCUGAUCCUUAUGCCCCCCACCCCCACCAGCAGAGAGAAAGGCGUAAAUGCAACGGCUACUCCAAAAAUAACGCUUUACUGGAUUAUUAGGUAAAAAAAUUCAUGGUAUAUACAUCAGACGUACAGACACACAUUUAUAUAUUUAUAUAAUAAACAUUUAUAUACGAUAUAAUUACACUUGUGUGGAGGAGGAGUCUCUGAGGGAUUUGAAGAGGUGAUUGGACGGAUAUUUGAUUGACUUGAUUGACAGCUCCAGUUGCUUGAUGGGUAGGUGCCUCGAGGCAGAGAUUGGUUGACCGAUGAAGCGAGACGAUUGGUUGGAAGAUGAAGGAAACUGAUUGGCUGGUAUUGAAGAGGACUGACUGCUUGAUUGGCUGACGUAAAAUUGAGCUGAUUGGCUGGCAGAGGAAGAGAGCUGAUUGGCUGAGUAAGUGCUGGAGUGACAAUGAAACCCUCAGAUGUCUGGAGUGUUUGUGUGUGUGUGUGUGUGUGUGUGUGUGUGUGUGUGUGUGUGUGUCUGUGUGUGUCUGUGUGUAGGGGGGGUUCUGAUCCGCUGCUGCUUGGAUGCAGUCAUCUCACUGUUUGGUCCUCUUCAUUCUGCAGAGGAGAGGACACAGGAAAGAGAGUGAGACAAGCUGGGCUACAGGCACAUUGAGGUGUGUGUGUGUGUGUA